rnacentral:rRNA from 1 species
GACGAACGCUGGCGGCGUGCUUAACACAUGCCAGUCGAACGGAAAGGCCCUGCUUUUGUGGGGUGCUCGAGUGGCGAACGGGUGAGUAACACGUGAGUAACCUGCCCUUGACUUUGGGAUAACUUCAGGAAACUGGGGCUAAUACCGGAUAGGAGCUCCUGCUGCAUGGUGGGGGUUGGAAAGUUUCGGCGGUUGGGGAUGGACUCGCGGCUUAUCCGCUUGUUGGUGGGGUAGUGGCUUACCAAGGCUUUGACGGGUAGCCGGCCUGAGAGGGUGACCGGCCACAUUGGGACUGAGAUACGGCGCAGACGCCUACGGGAGGCAGCAGUGGGGAAUAUUGCACAAUGGGCGGAAGCCUGAUGCAGCAACGCCGCGUGCGGGAUGACGGCCUUCGGGUUGUAAACCGCUGUCGCCUGUGACGAAGCGUGAGUGACGGUAAUGGGUAAAGAAGCACCGGCUAACUACGUG